UAAUGGGUCAGCGACUUAUAUUCUGUAGCAAGGUUAACCGUAUAGGGGAGCCGAAGGGAAACCGAGUCUUAACCGGGCGUUAAGUUGCAGGGUAUAGACCCGAAACCCGGUGAUCUAGCCAUGGGCAGGUUGAAGGUUGGGUAACACUAACUGGAGGACCGAACCGACUAAUGUUGAAAAAUUAGCGGAUGACUUGUGGCUGGGGGUGAAAGGCCAAUCAAACCGGGAGAUAGCUGGUUCUCCCCGAAAGCUAUUUAGGUAGCGCCUCGUGAACUCAUCUUCGGGGGUAGAGCACUGUUUCGGCUAGGGGGUCAUCCCGACUUACCAACCCGAUGCAAACUGCGAAUACCGAAGAAUGUUAUCACGGGAGACACACGGCGGGUGCUAACGUCCGUCGUGAAGAGGGAAACAACCCAGACCGCCAGCUAAGGUCCCAAAGUCACAGUUAAGUGGGAAACGAUGUGGGAAGGCUCAGACAGCCAGGAUGUUGGCUUAGAAGCAGCCAUCAUUUAAAGAAAGCGUAAUAGCUCACUGGUCGAGUCGGCCUGCGCGGAAGAUGUAACGGGGCUAAACUGUGCACCGAAGCUGCGGCAGCGACGCUUAUGCGUUGUUGGGUAGGGGAGCGUUCUGUAAGCCUGCGAAGGUGUCCUGUGAGGGAUGCUGGAGGUAUCAGAAGUGCGAAUGCUGACAUAAGUAACGAUAA
rnacentral:rRNA from 1 species